CAUAAAGUUAACGAGUAAAAUUUUUAUUUCAUAUAAUUAAAUAGAAAAAAAAAUUUGUUUUAAAAUUGUUUUUCAACUAUAAAACAUUGACACAAUAGAAGAGAAAAAUGUACAUUUCGAAGAGAAAUGAGUACGAUUGUUUUAAAAAAUCGUCAAGUCAUGAGUAUUUCAGGAUAAAAUAGAGAACUAUGAUGGAUAGUGGGACGGUUUUACUAAGUCCGUAGGCGGCAGUAUCUGCCAGCACAUUGUAUUGGGUUCGAGACUCGGUUACAGGCGGCCCUGUUGGUUGAUGGAAAGAUUAAUUCAGUAAUGGAAUCACCAUCCCUUUCUAUUGUGACGGACUAACUACUCGACAUAGAGGAACUAUGGUUAAGAAACCUUCUCAUUUAAGGAGGCCACUAUGGCCCUUAAUAAGCUGUAAAAACAUGAAAAUAUAAUAAAUAGAUAAUUAUAUGCGUAUUUUUUUCUUAGAAUUUGCUUAAGUACUUUAUUCAUGAUAAAUUUUCUAUCCAAUUGAAACUUUAUUGACAAUUCUGGAUUUAUCAACUGAUUUAUAUCUUAUUUACACGCCUAUGCAGCCGUUGAUUUACAUUAAACCAGCACUUCUUUGGGGUUUUUAUGCUAUUAUAGGACAUUUAUUUUCUAAAAAUCAUGUAAUUUAUGAACUUUCUUUUCCAAGU